rnacentral:rRNA from 1 species
GACAGAGGGUGCAAACGUUGUUCGGAAUUACUGGGCGUAAAGCGCGUGUAGGCGGCUAAGUAAGUCGGGCGUGAAAUCCCACGGCUCAACCGUGGAAGUGCACUCGAAACUGCAUAGCUAGAGUCCUGGAGAGGAAGGUGGAAUGCUUGGUGUAGAGGUGAAAUUCGUAGAUAUCUGGAAGAACACCAAUGGCGAAGGCACCAUCCUGGGAAGCAUCUGACGCUCAGGUGCGAAAGCUAGGGGAGCGAACGGG